rnacentral:rRNA from 1 species
CGGACGGGUGAGUAACACGUGGAUAACCCACCUAUAAGACUGGGAUAACUUCGGGAAACCGGAGCUAAUACCGGAUAAUAUAUUGAACCGCAUGGUUCAAUAGUGAAAGACGGUUUUGCUGUCACUUAUAGAUGGAUCCGCGCCGCAUUAGCUAGUUGGUAAGGUAACGGCUUACCAAGGCAACGAUGCGUAGCCGACCUGAGAGAGUGAUCGGCCACACUGGAACUGAGACACGGUCCAG